AAGUUAUGGCAGGAACGGGGGAACCACAGAAUGGAUCGCGGUGCGCUGCGCUCCGCGAACCUCAGGGGUGAAGUCUGCGAGAGCAGGCCGGGCUUCUCCAGUCCGAACCCGACAGCUCACCUCGGCAGCUCAACAAGGAGA
rnacentral:sRNA from 1 species